rnacentral:rRNA from 1 species
UACAGAGGUCCCAAGCGUUGUUCGGAUUCAUUGGGCGUAAAGGGUGCGUAGGUGGCGUCGAAAGUCGGGUGUGAAAUCUCGGGGCUUAACUCCGAAACUGCAUUCGAUACUGCGGUGCUUGAGGACUGGAGAGGAGACUGGAAUUUACGGUGUAGCAGUGAAAUGCGUAGAGAUCGUAAGGAAGACCAGUGGCGAAGGCGGGUCUCUGGACAGUUCCUGACACUGAGGCACGAAGGCCAGGGGAGCAAACGGG